GUCGAGAAUAAUUCACAAUGGGGGCAACCCUGAUGGUGCAACGCCGCGUGGAGGAUGAAGGUCUUCGGAUUGUAAACUCCUGUCAUCCGGGAGCAAGACCUGGCCGUGAAUAGCGGACAGGGUUGAUAGUACCGGAAGAGGAAGGGACGGCUAACUUCGUGCCAGCAGCCGCGGUAAUACGAAGGUCCCAAGCGUUGUUCGGAAUCACUGGGCGUAAAGGGAGCGUAGGCUGCGCGGUAAGUCAGGUGUGAAAUCCCGGGGCUCAACCCCGGAACUGCAUCCGAUACUGCCGUGCUAGAGGGUUGGAGAGGUGACUGGAAUUCUCGGUGUAGCAGUGAAAUGCGUGGAUAUCGAGAGGAACACUCGUGGCGAAGGCGAGUCACUGGACAACAUCUGACGCUGAGGCUCGAAGGCCAGGGGAGCAAAAGGGAUUAGAAACCCUAGUAGUCC
rnacentral:rRNA from 1 species